CUUUAGCCCUCAAAUAUCAUUCUUCCUGAUAAUUGAGAGACUUUAUUCUUUUGGUUUAAUUAUUAUUCGUGUGUGUGUGUGUGUGUGUGUGUGUGUGUACACAUAUAUACUUACAACCUGCUUAGUUCAGUUAUGCUGUUUCUGUUUAUAUGAUUACAGGGCUGACCACUCUGCACUAGAUGACCAAUAAAGUUUCCUCUUUCCUGAGUCCCCCCACUAGACAAUGGAUCACAGGCCACUAAGGACUGCUGAGAAGGAAGCAUCCCUCAGAGACCUGUGUGCUGAUUGCCUGGUCGUCAACGUAGUAUUGAGGUCAAGUCUUGAUAGGAUUCAAAGGGCUGUACCUUCAUCAAAGGAUUAGUCCAUUGAGAAUUCAGUACCAGAUAGACUCUGCAGGGAUGGAAAUGGAGAAGAGCCUGAAGAAAAGGUCCAGUGACAGGACCAAAGUGGGAUCCACCUCAAGGGGAGGCCUCAAGACCUGACACCAUUACUGAGGCUAUGGGGCAUUCACAAAAAGGGACCUAUCAUGGCUGCCCUCUGAAAGACCCAACACGCAGUUGAAAGAGUCAGAUAGAGAUAUGUGCACUCAAUCAAUGAACAGAAGAUGCUGAUCCCUCUGGUUGAAUAAGGGAAAAGCUGGAGGAAGCCAAGGAGGAGGAGGGCAACCCUGUAUGAGGACCAGCAGUCUCAAUUAACCUGGACCCCCGAGAUCUCUCAGACACUGGAUCACCAACUGGGCAGCACACACCAGCUGAGAUGAGGCCUCCAACACACAUCCAGCAGAGGACUCUUGGGUCUGGGUUCACUCAGAGAAGAUGCUCCUAAGCCCUAAGCGACUGGAGGUCCCAGGAAGUUUAGAGGUCUGGUGGGGUGGGUGGGGUGAGGACAGCCUUGUGGGGAGGGUGACAGGAGGAGGUGUGCGAUGGGGAACAGUUGGAGAGUGGACGAGGGGAGGAAUAAAAUCUGAAGUGUAAAAAUAAAUAAAUAAAUAAAGUUUAAAAGAGAAAGAGGGUCUAACUGAUGGAAGUAGAUCAUUGCUAUAUGCUAAUAAAAGGCAUAAAUUUUGGGUGCUCUCUGUUCCUCAGCUUGUAACAGGUAGGAACCUUUGCUUCACUGAAUUCUCUCUGCCAUGGGAAUCAGCCACAGCACAAGCCCUCAACAGAGUCAACUAACAUUGGAGAGAAAACUCUGUAAUCAUAAGUUGAAAUGAAUCUCUCCUUUUUUGAGUUUCUCAGUCACUUUGCCAUGAUAAUAUAAAACUAACACAACUUGACCUUAAACUUUAUGAUGUAACAGAAUAAAUAGUUCAGGCCCUGGAUCUCUCUAAUAAACUUAAUAACUACUAUCCAAUUUCUGUCACAGUGGGUCAAAUAUGGAAACACAUUAUAUAUCUGUACAGGUUUAUAGCCUUUAAUAUUAUAUUAGUCCUUCAUAUGUAUGUUUAUAGGUCUAAUAUACGAAAAAGCCUUAGAAAUAAGUUUUUAUGUAUAAAACAAAAACAAAACUCUAAUCUUUCUAAAAAAUGAGAAAAAUUAGACAUGUCUCCUACUAAAACAUGUCACUAAUAAAAUUAGUGUUUAUUUUCUGCACUUACUCAUGUAUAUUAUUUUAUCCUAAAAUAAGACUAUUUGCAUAUAAAGUCAUAUCACUGAAAAUAUUAUUUAGUGAAAUUAGCUAUAGUCAUGAUAAUAUAGUCUUUUAUCCUAAUUUAAGCAGGUAAAAACAAAUCUUGCAAAGUGCUUCGUGGGAUAGUUGAGAGCAAAGGCAUAUAAGCCAAUAUUUUAUGUAAACUUUAAGAAAUGUUUUGUAGUAAUAGCAAAUAAUUUCUUUACCUUGUACCAAGGCUGGGUGGGAGUGAGUGUUAUACUAGGACCAGUUUGAGAAUUGAUUCCUGGGGACUCGCUUGUAGGAUAUAAAAAUUGUAUAUUGUGUUAACUUUAUUUUGUCUCGAAAAUUGUAUAUUACUGAAGUAGAGAAAAAACUCAUCAAUAAUUACCAUCACCUAAAUAUGAA
rnacentral:lncRNA from 1 species